UACGAAGGUCCCGAGCGUUGUUCGGAAUCACUGGGCGUAAAGGGAGCGUAGGCGGCAUGGUAAGUCAGAUGUGAAAGCCCGGAGCUCAACUCCGGGACUGCAUCCGAUACUGCCGUGCUUGAGGACUGGAGAGGAGUCUGGAAUUCACAGUGGAGCAGUGAAAUGCGUAGAUAUUGUGAGGAACACUAGUGGCGAAGGCGAGACUCUGGACAGUUCCUGACGCUGAGGCACGAAGGCCAGGGGAGCAAACGGG
rnacentral:rRNA from 1 species